GCGCGAAAACUCUACAAUGCAGGCAACUGCGAUAGGGGAACAUCGAGUGGNGUUCAUAUUGGAUGUCUGUCCUCCCGCCUAAAAAGCGGGAGUUAGCAAGGGCCGGGCAAGACCGGUGCCAGCCGCCGCGGUAAUACCGGCGGCUCGAGUGGUGGCCGAUAUUAUUGAGUCUAAAGGGUCCGUAGCCGGCUUUGCAAGUCUCUCGGGAAAUCCACCGGCUUAACCGUUGGUCGUCCGGGGGGUACUACAUUGCUUGGGACUGGGAGAGGUACGAGGUACUCAGGGGGUAGGA
rnacentral:rRNA from 1 species